CCAUCCGUACGCUGGUAGGAUCCGUAAUGGUACAGGCAGCAUCCUGCAGCACAAUGGUGAGCGCGCAGUGAUUCAGCAUCGCAAACUCAGGCUUUAAUCCUCCUCUUUUUGUUUCAUCUACCUUUUUGUCUUUAUAUCUGUUUGAUUCGUCCUCACAGUGGUCUUUAAAUCCGUCGCGUACCGGGAUGAUUUGAACAGGACUGGACUGUCACCGGACCGGGAUCGUCGGACGGGCAGCUGGCACGGAAUGGUAUUUAUGAACAGACGUUUCUUAUAUAACUGCAGUGCUCCAGUCCUGGAUGUGAAGAUUGCCUUUUGUCAGGUGUGUGUUCCAUACAGGUAAAUUAAAAGGUAGAGUAUUCAUUCACUUCCAUUCUGUC
rnacentral:lncRNA from 1 species